UCCGCUCGAAACUUUGCACACCUCUACGCGGUGGGCGGCAGGCAACACAGUGUGUAGAUGCUGUGGCAAAGAAUGCAAGA
rnacentral:ribozyme from 17 species